ACCGGCGAACGGGCGCGUAACACGUGAGCAAUCUGCCGUACACUGGGGGAUAGCCGGCCCAACGGCCGGGUAAUACCGCAUACGUUCUUCGGGCGGCAUCGCUUGAAGAAGAAACCUCCGGGGGUGUACGAGGAGCUCGCGGCCUAUCAGGUAGUUGGUGGGGUCACGGCCUACCAAGCCAUUGACGGGUAGCUGGUCUGAGAGGAUGGCCAGCCACAUUGGGACUGAGAUACGGCCCAGACUCCUACGGGAGGCAGCAGUGGGGAAUAUUGCGCAAUGGCCGCAAGGCUGACGCAGCGACGCCGCGUGGGGGAUGAAGCAUUUCGGUGUGUAAACCCCUGUUGCUCGGGACGAACAGCGAGUUCCGACUCGUCUGACGGUACCGGGUGAGGAAGCACCGGCUAACUCCGUGCCAGCAGCCGCGGUAGUACGGAGGGUGCGAGCGUUGUCCGGAAUCACUGGGCGUAAAGGGCGCGUAGGCGGUCUGCUAAGCGUGCGGUGAAAGCCUGGGGCUCAACCCCAGGUCUGCCGUGCGAACUGGUGGACUCGAGCACUGUAGAGGCAGGUGGAAUUCCGGGUGUAGCGGUGGAAUGCGUAGAGAUCCGGAAGAACACCGGUGGCGAAGGCGGCCUGCUGGGCAGUAGCUGACGCUGAGGCGCGACAGCGUGGGGAGCAAACAGGAUUAGAUACCCUGGUAGUC
rnacentral:rRNA from 1 species